AGAUCACUUGGACAGGGCACGUACCAAACAUCCAAGUAAUAAAUGUUUUGUAGAAUCUCUGCCGAGUCAAAGGUUUGCAUGUAGCCUCAGACCCACUCACAAAACUCAGAAUUCACAGGCAUGCACAGCACAGCCAACAUCUAUUCUAGUUUUCCAGUAAAAGAAACAGGUACUUUUGGAGAUAUAGCUACCAAUAAAAUGUGAAAUAGACUUCAGAUUGUAUUGACUAUGAUGCUGAACAGUCAUUGGCUAUGAAAACAGGUUCACAUGACAGGCUAAGUAUAUGUGUAUAAGUAUAUAAGUAUACAAGUACAUAUAUGUAUAUUUGAAUGUUGGGGGAGAUAAUCUUCAGCAUUUGUGCAACACACAACAUGGUCUAAUGCAAGAAAAUACAGAAAAAUAAAACUUGCAAAUGAGAGUUGUUUGAUGUAUGUAACAUAUGUGCUUCAAAUACACUGGUGGCUAUUUAGGCAAGAUUAAGUAAAUUUGAAAAUCUAGAAUAAUUUUUGAGUUAUCAGCAUUUGUUAACUUACACUUACGUAUCUAGGGAUAACUGCAUGCCAUUCCAUCACAAUGUAGGUCAUUUAUCUGAUUUUAUGUGAGAGAAAAUAUUCAUGUGCUCAACUUAGAAGAUUCCAUGCACUGAGUACAAAUACUCAUUAUACAUGCAGCUUGUCCCAGUUCAAUCUCCACCUUUACAUUCAGUAUUUUUACUCCAAAAGCACUCUCAAUGACCUCUUUGUGGAAAAGGCUAUUCAAUAUUCACAGACAAUCGACAUGCAUUUAAGUACUCUUUUUUGUAAAUUCUACAUUUUUUAGACUUUUCUAUGUCUUCUGUAUACAAAAUGGUUUUUACAACUCAAAAGGCAGAAUUUUUAUUCACAUUUUGCCAAACAAAUUGAUCAAAAUAAAUUAAACCGAAAAAAGGAAAGUAAAAAUGGCAAAGUUACAGUGACUUAGAAUUUUCUCUGGAAUGCUAAUCAAUUAUCUCCUUCCACUGUGCUUGUUUCAAUUGAUAAAUUUUGAAGGACGAUAUUUGUAAUUCUCAAGCUAUUUUAUAUAUAUGUACAUUUAUUUUUAUACAUGAAAUCAGAGUUUCAUAAACAAAAACUUUAAAUAUGCAGUUUUGUCUAUAAGAAGAGUUUAACAGAAAAAUAUUGACUGAUUUAUGGGAGUGUGUGAGAUACGUUAAAAAAUGUCAUAUUUUUCUUAAAUUAUCUCCAUUGUUGGUUAGAUUAACCAGAAUAAAUUUUAAGAAAUAUUUCUACUACUAAACUCUGCAUUUCCGCUGUGUUAUUCUGUUCAGAAUUCACACUCAAUUAAAUAAAACAAUCAAAAGAAUUAUUGCCCAUAGCAGAUCAGCAUGAAUAUGUCAAUUUGUCAAGAUUAAUUUUGCAAGGAUUCCAAUUUAUUCACUAAAAGUUGUAUUAAGAUUAGGUCCUGCUUGUGUUCUACAGCCAGUCCACUUGAGCUUUGAUCUUCCACUGAGCUCUCUUUAUCAAUAAUCUACAAUCAUUUUAACAGAUUUCUUUGCACAAACACCAUUUUAUGUAAAUGCUCUUUUAGAUAAUUCUUGUAUAAUCAGUCAGAGACGGGGAACAGCUCAGAGAUUUAAUGCCAUAUGAAAUAGCUUUUCUACUCUUGGACCAAUAUUCAUUUUCAUUAAGCAGAAACCACAUCACUUUCCAAGUUGCUGAAAGGAAAAGAUAUACAGAAAUUGAUUUGGCAUCAGUUACAUCUGUUUUGGAUUUGAAAUAUUUACAUAACAUUAGAAGAAAAUAAUACUUUGAAAAUUGUUUUCAUUUCUUAUCAAUUAUUUUUAUUCUUUUUUAACAUUCCACUUCACCCACUUUUAUUUGGCUCUGUCUGUCUUUCAAAAUUCAGACUUCUUCAGUAACUGUAAAUCACUUUUUUUCCCCUCUCAACAAAUAGUUAUUCUAUUAAUGAUUUUUUUAAAAGUCUACUGGAAUAAUAACUUGGCAUUUACUAAUAAUGUUGAGAAACACAAGGGCAAGAGUAGAGAUAUUUUGAUAAUCUAUCAUCACAUAAAAUCAUAUGUACGUUUAUCCUACAGAAAAUAGAAUGUGCUGAAAAGCAAACUAACCUCAGAAAAGCACACUCAUUACUUGUUUAAACUCUUUACUUGUUUAUUCAGAACUAAUUUUGUUGCACAAUAUCAUUUCUUGAUGAACAACACAGCUUUUAAAAGUAUAAAAAAGUACAAAGAAAUUAUUAACUGUUAGAAACCACAAAUAAACACAGUAGUUAAAACAAUAUAAUUAAUCCUGUGCUAAUAGUCAGGCACUUUGACAUAUCUGAUAAAUUUUAGUUAUUCAGCCUUAUUACCUCAGUGCAAAGUACCAGCUGUGACAUUGUAAAGGGUUUUUUUAGCAUCUUAGAUUUCUUUAACCAUAUUCUGAAAAUAUUUGUCUGGCCUGAUUUUGUCUGUGUACACUUGGACUUUUUCAGAUUUUGUACAGAUGAAUGGAGAAAAGCUUUGCCAGAAAUGGGCUUUUCUUUUACUAAGAUAAGGUUUAUUGAAAAACUUAUUUCAUGGCAUUGAAAAGUAUCUAACAAUCUGCUAACUUUUAAGCACUAAUUGUUCUGAAUUCAAAGGUCUGAUAAUUAUCUAAAAUUCUAAACUACUUUUAGUCAGACUGGCAUACUUAGUAAUUGAAAAAAUCUUAUUCAAAAUUAAAUUGUGAAAUAUUUCUAUCUUUUUUUUAAGCAGCACACAACAAUAAAAUCACAUACACAUUGGUUCCAAAUAUAAUGAAUGCAGAUGCAUUCACACAUAUUUCUCUAGCACAGGACAAAGAUGUAGCCUUCAGUUUCUAGACAUGACAGCAACUUGCUGCCAUUUAAUUGAAUAUCUCUGUCUAAUAUAAGGGAAUUUACUGCUGGUUCAGUGUACACUCUCAAUAUUAAAAAUUAUAUUAUACCAUGUGCUUAUACAUCAGUGCUUUUCUGUUUAAAUUAUUCUAUUCAGAAUGCUAGACUUUUAUUAUUCAUUACAGUUUUAAAUGAAAACUACAGACAAUUUUGAGACAAAUUGAAAGAUAGAAAUACUUAGGAGAAGAUACCAUGCAGGGAAGCCAUCAUAAUGCAAACCAUGCUGAGGGUCAAAAGAUGUCUCUCUGAGCUUUGGUUUCAGCUGUAUCUUCUGAAUGUGACUGAUACUAAACCAAAUGUACCACUGUGUUAGGAACUAGCACAGCAUUUCCUCCUUUAAAAUGACAUGUGAUUUUGGUAAAGAAAAAUACAUGGGGCUUGAUUCUGUUCCCAAGGAUAUUUGAGGUACUACUGCUGCACUGUUAGAUUAGGGUUAUGGGUUUUGGGAUUCCUGUGCCAUCUGGAGUGGCAGCUGAAGGCCUCUAGGGUACCCUAGUAUAUCUAGGGGCACUAAAUGCUUAGGUGAAGGCAAUUGAAUCACACACUGAAAAACAGUUUUCCAGAUUAGUAGUGGGAGUUGGAAGACCCUUUUAACAGAGGUUUGAAUUUUUGCUUUUAGAUCAUGUCUAGUGGUCAGGGGAAGCUGGCUGUAGCCCAGCCCUCUGGGUCCAGACUCUUCCUAUCAGUAGUGUCCUGACAUAGAGUACAGCACUGCUCAAAUGCAUGCUCUGGAAACUCUUGAUAUACUAGUGAAAAAAAUGAGCUGGAAUUAGUCACUCUUCAUCCAGCCUUCCUUCAGAGACAAACCUGUAGCAAAAAAAGAGUGUAAUUUACUAUCAGCAGAGAGCAACUUCAUUUCUGUAUUGUAAAAUCUGACUGGGGCUCUAUGACCUAUACUCUGCCAGGGUCUCCUGGGAUUGCUGGGAGUCUGCUGAUCAUGGAACAUAUUUCCUUUGCUUCCAGCACACUCUGCUCUCUAGCCGGUACUGUUGCUUUAGGAGUGAACUUUUAUCCCAGUGUUAGGCAAAACCAAGAUAUCUGCUGUCCUGCCAAUGUGAUCGGUAGGCAGGGAAGAUGCUGCAGUUAGCCUGAAUGCAGGAAAGUAAGUGUGUGGUGAAGUAUAAACCAAUAAAUGGUAGGCUAUACAUAACCUGAGUAACAGUUAGCUAGCUUUAACACACCACUUUCCAUCAGUACAUCAUGUGCCAUUUUACAAAAAGGUUUAUAUUUACAUGCACUUUAUAGAUGGAGAAAAAAUUACAAAAGAUUUCCCAAGGUCACAACAUGGUUUAAGAAAGAGCCAGAAGAGUAGUUAAACCCUGACUGCCAAACCUAUGUCUUGGAGACAAAUAGCUACUUCUGCAAUUUCUAGACAAGUCAACUCUGUGGAGAUGUUAAGAGUUAUAUUAUUUGUUCUUCAGGUUAAUUGAAUGGUUUGGGUUUGGUGGGUUUGGGAUUUAUUUUUUUGUUUUAAAUAAUGAAAUUUUAAUUGCUCUAUACUCACUAUAAAAAUGAAAAUCAAUAAUCUUUUCCAAAACAAAUUUAUAUUAGCAUAAUGAAACAUUCUGGGGCUCAGUUUCUUGACUUGUCAGUUGCCUGGAUCUUGCAGUAGGUAAAGCACAUUAAGAAAAGCCUCAGCAGUUAAAAAGUACUGUUAAAAAGUACUUUAUAUGAUCAAGUUGAAUAACUAAACAAAAAUGGCUGCAUUUUCAUAAGUUUGAUCAUGUUUCCAUUGUCAAGGUCUGGACACCAAGCUGAAUCAAAUUACAGGGAAUGUUCUUUUGCCUUGCAUUAAAAAAAAAAAAAAAAAAAA
ensembl:lncRNA